rnacentral:rRNA from 1 species
CGACGUGGGUAACCUGCCUCAUACAGGGGGAUGACAGUUAGAAAUGACUGCUAAUACCGCAUAAGCGCACAGUGCUGCAUGGCACAGUGUGAAAAACUCCGGUGGUAUGAGAUGGACUCGCGUCUGAUUAGCUAGUUGGUGGGGUAACGGCCUACCAAGGCGACGAUCAGUAGCCGGCCUGAGAGGGUGAACGGCCACAUUGGGACUGAGACACGGCCCAA